UUGAACGCUGGCGGCAGGCCUAACACAUGCAAGUCGAACGGUAACAGGAAGAAGCUUGCUUCUUUGCUGACGAGUGGCGGCCGGGUGAGUAAUGUCUGGGAAACUGCCUGAUGGAGGGGGAUAACUACUGGAAACGGUAGCUAAUACCGCAUAACGUCGCAAGACCAAAAAGGGGGACCUUCGGGCCUCUUGCCAUCGGAUGUGCCCAGAUGGGAUUAGCUAGUAGGUGGGGUAACGGCUCACCUAGGCGACGAUCCCUAGCUGGUCUGAGAGGAUGACCAGCCACACUGGAACUGAGACACGGUCCAGACUCCUACGGGAGGCAGCAGUGGGGAAUAUUGCACAAUGGGCGCAAGCCUGAUGCAGCCAUGCCGCGUGUAUGAAGAAGGCCUUCGGGUUGUAAAGUACUUUCAGCGGGGAGGAAGGGAGUAAAGUUAAUACCUUUGCUCAUUGACGUUACCCGCAGAAGAAGCACCGGCUAACUCCGUG
rnacentral:rRNA from 1 species